rnacentral:tRNA from 1 species
GCCCCCGUAGACCAACCGGCAGAGUCAGCGAGCUCAAACCUCGCGUCGUGCGGGUUCGAAUCCCGCCGCGGGCA